GAUGAACGCUAGCUACAGGCUUAACACAUGCAAGUCGAGGGGCAUCAGGAAGAAAGCUUGCUUUCUUUGCUGGCGACCGGCGCACGGGUGAGUAACACGUAUCCAACCUGCCCUUUACCCGGGGAUAGCCUUUCGAAAGAAAGAUUAAUACCCGAUAGCAUAAUGAUUCCGCAUGGUUUCAUUAUUAAAGGAUUCCGGUAAAGGAUGGGGAUGCGUUCCAUUAGGUUGUUGGUGGGGUAACGGCCCACCAAGCCUUCGAUGGAUAGGGGUUCUGAGAGGAAGGUCCCCCACAUUGGAACUGAGACACGGUCCAAACUCCUACGGGAGGCAGCAGUGAGGAAUAUUGGUCAAUGGGCGCUAGCCUGAACCAGCCAAGUAGCGUGAAGGAUGAAGGCUCUAUGGGUCGUAAACUUCUUUUAUAUAAGAAUAAAGUGCAGUAUGUAUACUGUUUUGUAUGUAUUAUAUGAAUAAGGAUCGGCUAACUCCGUGCCAGCAGCCGCGGUAAUACGGAGGAUCCGAGCGUUAUCCGGAUUUAUUGGGUUUAAAGGGAGCGUAGGUGGACUGGUAAGUCAGUUGUGAAAGUUUGCGGCUCAACCGUAAAAUUGCAGUUGAUACUGUCAGUCUUGAGUACAGUAGAGGUGGGCGGAAUUCGUGGUGUAGCGGUGAAAUGCUUAGAUAUCACGAAGAACUCCGAUUGCGAAGGCAGCUCACUGGACUGCAACUGACACUGAUGCUCGAAAGUGUGGGUAUCAAACAGGAUUAGAUACCCUGGUAGUCCACACAGUAAACGAUGAAUACUCGCUGUUUGCGAUAUACAGUAAGCGGCCAAGCGAAAGCAUUAAGUAUUCCACCUGGGGAGUACGCCGGCAACGGUGAAACUCAAAGGAAUUGACGGGGGCCCGCACAAGCGGAGGAACAUGUGGUUUAAUUCGAUGAUACGCGAGGAACCUUACCCGGGCUUAAAUUGCAGUGGAAUGAUGUGGAAACAUGUCAGUGAGCAAUCACCGCUGUGAAGGUGCUGCAUGGUUGUCGUCAGCUCGUGCCGUGAGGUGUCGGCUUAAGUGCCAUAACGAGCGCAACCCUUAUCUUCAGUUACUAACAGGUCAUGCUGAGGACUCUGGAGAGACUGCCGUCGUAAGAUGUGAGGAAGGUGGGGAUGACGUCAAAUCAGCACGGCCCUUACGUCCGGGGCUACACACGUGUUACAAUGGGGGGUACAGAAGGCAGCUAGCGGGUGACCGUAUGCUAAUCCCAAAAGCCUCUCUCAGUUCGGAUCGAAGUCUGCAACCCGACUUCGUGAAGCUGGAUUCGCUAGUAAUCGCGCAUCAGCCACGGCGCGGUGAAUACGUUCCCGGGCCU
rnacentral:rRNA from 1 species